GACGAACGCUGGCGGCGUGCCUAAUACAUGCAAGUAGAACGCUGAAGAGAGGAGCUUGCUCUUCUUGGAUGAGUUGCGAACGGGUGAGUAACGCGUAGGUAACCUGCCCGGUAGCGGGGGAUAACUAUUGGAAACGAUAGCUAAUACCGCAUAAAAUGGAUUAUCGCAUGAUAAUCCAUUGAAAGGUGCAAAUGCAUCACUACCAGAUGGACCUGCGUUGUAUUAGCUAGUUGGUGGGGUAACGGCUCACCAAGGCGACGAUACAUAGCCGACCUGAGAGGGUGAUCGGCCACACUGGGACUGAGACACGGCCCAGACUCCUACGGGAGGCAGCAGUAGGGAAUCUUCGGCAAUGGACGGAAGUCUGACCGAGCAACGCCGCGUGAGUGAAGAAGGUUUUCGGAUCGUAAAGCUCUGUUGUAAGAGAAGAACGAGUGUGAGAGUGGAAAGUUCACACUGUGACGGUAUCUUACCAGAAAGGGACGGCUAACUACGUG
rnacentral:rRNA from 1 species